rnacentral:rRNA from 1 species
UAGGGAAUCUUCGGCAAUGGACGAAAGUCUGACCGAGCAACGCCGCGUGAGUGAAGAAGGUUUUCGGAUCGUAAAACUCUGUUGUUAGAGAAGAACAAGGACGUUAGUAACUGAACGUCCCCUGACGGUAUCUAACCAGAAAGCCACGGCUAACUACGUGCCAGCAGCCGCGGUAAUACGUAGGUGGCAAGCGUUGUCCGGAUUUAUUGGGCGUAAAGCGAGCGCAGGCGGUUUCUUAAGUCUGAUGUGAAAGCCCCCGGCUCAACCGGGGAGGGUCAUUGGAAACUGGGAGACUUGAGUGCAGAAGAGGGGAGUGGAAUUCCAUGUGUAGCGGUGAAAUGCGUAGAUAUAUGGAGGAACACCAGUGGCGAAGGCGGCUCUCUGGUCUGUAACUGACGCUGGGGCUCGAAAGCGUGGGGAGCAAACAGG